rnacentral:rRNA from 1 species
AGUUUGAUCAUGGCUCAGAUUGAACGCUGGCGGGGAUGUCUUUACACAUGCAAGUCCGGAACGGCGGCACGGACUUCGGUCUGGUGGCGAGUGGCGAACGGGUGAGUAAUGUAUCGGAACGUGCCUAGUAGCGGGGGAUAACUACGCGAAAGCGUAGCUAAUACCGCAUACGCCCUUCGAAGGGAAAGCGGGGGACCUUCGGGCCUCGCACUAUUAGAGCGGCCGAUAUCGGAUUGGCUAGUUGGUGGGGUAACGGCUCACCAGGGCGACGAUCCGUAGCUGGUUUGAGGACGACCAGCCACACUGGGACUGAGACACGGCCCAGACUCCUACGGGAGGCAGCAGUGGGGAAUUUUGGACAAUGGGGGAAACCCUGAUCCAGCCAUCCCGCGUGUGCGAUGAAGGCCUUCGGGUUGUAAAGCACUUUUGGCAGAGGGAAAGAAACGGCACGGGAUAAUGCCCCGUGCAACUGACGGUACCUGCAGAAUAAGCACCGGCUAACUACGUGCCAGCAGCCGCGGUAAUACGUAGGGUGCAAGCGUUAAUCGGAAUUACUGGGCGUAAAGCGUGCGCAGGCGGUUCCGGAAAGAAGAUGUGAAAUCCCAGGCUUAACUUUGGAACUGCAUUUUUAACUACCGAGCUAGAGUGUGUCAGAGGAGGUGGAAUUCCGCGUGUAGCAGUGAAAUGCGUAGAUAUGCGGAGAGACACCGAUAGCGAAGGCGGCCUCGCAGGAUAACACUGACGCUCAUGCACGAAAGCGUGGGGAGCAAACAGGAUUAGAUACCCUGGUAGUCCACGCCCUAAACGAUGUCAACUAGCUGUUGGGGCCUUCGGGCCUUGGUAGCGCAGCUAACGCGUGAAGUUGAUGACCGCCUGGGGAGUACGGUCGCAAGAUUAAAACUCAAAGGAAUUGACGGGGACCCGCACAAGCGGUGGAUGAUGUGGAUUAAUUCGAUGCAACGCGAAAAACCUUACCUACCCUUGACAUGUCUGGAAUCCCGAAGAGAUUUGGGAGUGCUCGCAAGAGAACCGGAACACAGGUGCUGCACAGGCUGUCGUCAGCUCGUGUCGUGAGAUGUUGGGUUAAGUCCCGCAACAGGCACACAUGCCGUCCAUUAGUUGCUACGAAGGGCACUCUAAUGAGACUGCCGGUGACAAACCGGAGGAAGGUCGAGGAUGACGUCAAGUCCUCAUGGCCCUUAUGGGUAGGGCUUCACACGUCAUACAAUGGUCGGGACAGAGGGUCGCGCCAACCCGCGAGGGGGGAGCCAAUCCCAGAAACCCGAUCGUAGUCCGGAUCGCAGUCUGCAGCGCUCGACUGCGUGAAGUCGGAAUCGCUAGUAAUCGCGGAUCAGCAUGUCGCGGUGAAUACGUUCCCGGGUCUUGUACACACCGCCCGUCACCAUGGGAGUGGGUUUUACCGAUAGUUAGCUAACCCGUAAGGAGGGCGGUCACCACGGUGAUUCAUGACUGGGGGUGAAGUCGUAACAAGGUAG